rnacentral:tRNA from 1 species
GCGGACGUGGUGGAAUAGGUAGACACAGCAGACUUAAAAUCUGCUUCGCGUAAGCGAGUGCGGGUUCAAGUCCCGCCGUCCGCACCA